UAGUCCACGCCGUAAACGAUGUCUACUAGUUGUUGGAACCCUUGAGGUUUUAGUGACGCAGCUAACGCAUUAAGUAGACCGCCUGGGGAGUACGGUCGCAAGAUUAAAACUCAAAUGAAUUGACGGGGGCCCGCACAAGCGGUGGAGCAUGUGGCUUAAUUCGAAGCAACGCGAAGAACCUUACCUACUCUUGACAUCCUGAUAAUUCGCUAGAGAUAGCUUAGUGCCUUCGGGAAAUCAGUGACAGGUGCUGCAUGGCUGUCGUCAGCUCGUGUCGUGAGAUGUUGGGUUAAGUCCCGUAACGAGCGCAACCCUUGUCCUUAGUUGCCAGCACGUAAUGGUGGGAACUCUAAGGAGACUGCCGGCGCAAGCCGUGAGGAAGGUGGGGACGACGUCAAAUCAUCAUGGCCUUUAUGCCUAGGGCUACACACGUGCUACAAUGGUGACUACAACGGGUUGCGAAAUUGUGAAAUGGAGCUAAUCUCAAAAAAGUCAUCCCAGUUCGGA
rnacentral:rRNA from 1 species